rnacentral:rRNA from 1 species
UACGUAGGUGGCAAGCGUUAUCCGGAUUUACUGGGUGUAAAGGGCGUGUAGGCGGGAAAGCAAGUCAGAUGUGAAAACCACGGGCUCAACCUGUGGCCUGCAUUUAAAACUGUUUUUCUUGAGUACUGGAGAGGCAGACGGAAUUCCUCGUGUAGCGGUGAAAUGCGUAGAUAUGAGGAGGAACACCAGUGGCGAAGGCGGUCUGCUGGACAGCAACUGACGCUGAGGCGCGAAAGCGUGGGGAGCAAACAGG